rnacentral:rRNA from 1 species
GUAGGGAAUAUUGGGCAAUGGAUGCAAGUCUGACCCAGCCAUCCCGCGUGCCGGAAGAAGGCCCUCAGGGUUGUAAACGGCUUUUGACGGUGAAGAAUCGACAGGAUGCGUCCUGUUUUGACGGUAGCCGUUGAAUAAGCACCGGCUAACUCCGUGCCAGCAGCCGCGGUAAUACGGAGGGUGCGAGCGUUGUCCGGAUUUAUUGGGUUUAAAGGGUGCGUAGGCUGGAAGGUCAGUCAGCGGUUAAAAGCUAUCGCUUAACGAUAGUCUUGCCGCAGAUACUUCCUUUCUUGGAUGAGGAGGAGGCCACUGGAACGGAUGGUGUAGCGGUGAAAUGCAUAGAUAUCAUCCAGAACACCGAUUGCGAAGGCAGGUGGCUGUACCUUAAUCGACGCUGAUGCACGAAAGCAUGGGGAGCAAACAGGAUUAGAUACCCUUGUAGUCC